UACGGAGGGGACUAGCGUUGUUCGGAAUUACUGGGCGUAAAGCGUGCGCAGGCGGUUCGUUGUGUCGGUGGUGAAAGCCCCGGGCUUAACCUGGGAAUGGCCAUGGAAACUGGCGAACUGGAGUGUGGCAGAGGGGGGUGGAAUUCCGCGUGUAGCAGUGAAAUGCGUAGAGAUGCGGAGGAACACCGAUGGCGAAGGCAGCCCCCUGGGCUAGCACUGACGCUCAGGCACGAAAGCGUGGGGAGCAAACAGG
rnacentral:rRNA from 1 species